UAUAAUUCAAUGGACUCAAUCUUUUUCUUUGUCAAGAGCUUUUUUUAGUUCUUAUGGUAUCGAUGUAAAGAAGUCGUUCACCAAGGUUUUUCCAAUUUACAAUAUUCUGAGUCAAACUGAAACUUGACAAACUACAAGACAAUCAUCAGCGGAUUUUACCCUGGAGCGUGCAUA